UACGGAGGGUGCAAGCGUUAUCCGGAUUCACUGGGUUUAAAGGGUGCGUAGGAGGGCAGGUAAGUCAGUGGUGAAAUCCCCGAGCUUAACUUGGGAACUGCCGUUGAUACUAUCUGUCUUGAAUGUUGUGGAGGUGAGCGGAAUAUGUCAUGUAGCGGUGAAAUGCUUAGAUAUGACAUAGAACACCAAUUGCGCAGGCAGCUCGCUACACAAUUAUUGACUCUGAUGCACGAAAGCGUGGGGAUCAAACAGG
rnacentral:rRNA from 1 species